rnacentral:rRNA from 2 species
UACACAUGCAAGUCGAACGGUAGAGGCCCNUCGGGGUACACGAGUGGCGAACGGGUGAGUAANACNUGGGUGAUCUGCCCUGCACUUCGGGAUAAGCCCGGGAAACUGGGUCUAAUACCGGAUAGUACUGCGCGGUGCAUGCCGUGUGGUGGAAAGAUUUAUCGGUGCAGGAUGGGCCCGCGGCCUAUCAGCUUGUUGGUGGGGUAAUGGCCUACCAAGGCGACGACGGGUAGCCGGCCUGAGAGGGCGACCGGCCACACUGGGACUGAGACACGGCCCAGACUCCUACGGGAGGCAGCAGUGGGGAAUAUUGCACAAUGGGCGCAAGCCUGAUGCAGCGACGCCGCGUGAGGGAUGACGGCCUUCGGGUUGUAAACCUCUUUCAGCAGGGACGAAGCGCAAGUGACGGUACCUGCAGAAGAAGCACCGGCCAACUACGUGCCAGCAGCCGCGGUAAUACGUAGGGUGCAAGCGUUGUCCGGAAUUACUGGGCGUAAAGAGCUCGUAGGCGGUUUGUCGCGUCGUCUGUGAAAACCAGCAGCUCAACUGUUGGCUUGCAGGCGAUACGGGCAGACUUGAGUAUUUCAGGGGAGACUGGAAUUCCUGGUGUAGCGGUGAAAUGCGCAGAUAUCAGGAGGAACACCGGUGGCGAAGGCGGGUCUCUGGGAAAUAACUGACGCUGAGGAGCGAAAGCGUGGGUAGCGAACAGGAUUAGAUACCCUGGUAGUCCACGCCGUAAACGGUGGGC